rnacentral:lncRNA from 1 species
UCAUUUGAUCUCCCAAGAGGUAUAUAAGCCUGCUAAAAUUAGAAAAUUGGUCAUUUCUCCAUAACAGAAACCCUAGAAGCCUUUCUCCUCUCUUCUUCUCCUCUUGUCACCUCAGCACGUCCCUCAAGGCGGUGCCUUCGUCGGCCAUCAUCCAAAUCCCACAAACCUUACCCCAAACUCCUCCUCUUCUCCCCCUUUACCCGAAUCCACCAGUAAAACCACAAAAAGAAUCCUCCUCCGCCACCUAUAGUGGCUCAAAUAAGUUUCAACCAUGCUCAUUGGGUAUAACCUUCAUCACCUCACUAAUUUUUGAUUUUGUAUGGUGAUACGUUUAGUUUGCACCUUUGAUUUCUAUUUUGAUUAAUCACUCUAAUUAGAGUUUCAAGUUAGUUAUCGAUUAGUUAUCUUUGUUUAUCUUAGUUGUUACCAUUAGUAGAAUCGAUAGUUAGUCGUGUUGUUUAGUUGUUGUUAAUCUUUGAUAAUUUACUGAUGUUCAUCCAAGUUUUAUUUUUUUCACUGUUAGUUUGCACAAAAUCACAUUGCUUUAGUUCAGUUUGUUUGGAUGCUCAAUCUAGUUAGAAUCAAAGUCUUGUUGUUGCAUUUGUCUAUUUUAUGAUUGGAUUAGAUUUGAGUAUUUUAGUUUUAUUGAUAAAAGUUGAUGUUGAUCAAAACAGGGUACAUAGUUGGUAGUUGUUACUAUUUGAAGUAUGUUUGAAAAAUAACUACUUUAUUUUGUGUCUAACUUGGUGAAAGAGGACUGUCCUUUCUCCUAUUUGGAUAGUCUUUUUGACUGUAUUUGGUGACAAAAAGUAAGUCAUUUUGACAGAUAAAGUGCUUGCUUUUUCUACUUAAACGGGACACCAUCACACAUUUUGAAGUUUUUAAGGCACACUCUAUCACACAUUUGUUGGACAGUUUUUACACCCUUAAAAUACAAUUUUUAGGGUGAAAAAUCAACAACUAAAGCACCCUUUCGUAAGCUGAAAUGGAAAUUUUUGUCAGUAAAUUUUAGAGUGCAAACUUUUAGAAAAAUAUGAGUCUUCUUUAGAGUUGGUUUUGGGUUUCUUCUCUAAGAUUUUCGGGCUGUUUUAAAUACGAAACUGUUGUUGUUUUCAGUUGUGUUUGCUUCUGCUUUGUUUUCAUUGCGAAGCUCCAUUUUUUCACUAAUGUAUUUAUUUUCUGCAAUCCAGGUAUUUCUCAAAUUUUGCAAUGCAGAUUUUUAUAUCCAAUAGAUGAGAAUAUGGGUCACUUUCAGCUCAUAGGAUAUGUUCGAUGUGCUUUACUAGAAUGAAUGAAUAUUUAGUGUGUUACUUAUGUUUAAAGCAUGUACAUUUAUAAUAUUUGGUUAAUCUUUCAUUUUUCUUCACAUAUGUAGCUCAAACAACAUUCUGUGAAGUGUAUCUAGUUAAGGAAAAGAAAUAUUUUGUUUUUCCAGAAAUAUUUAUAUGUAUAUGUUUAGUUUCUUUUGUCUUGGUUUCAUAUAUCUAAUGUUAGUCAUUUUAACUCCUCUCUUAGUGUUGAAAAGGUAACAGAUAGUAAUAUGUUUCUUAGUAAUAUUUAUUUUUAUCGCAAGUUGAUGAAAUUGGAAACAAUAUGUAACUAAGUAUGCUG